GACCAUUCAAGUCCAUUCUGGUUUCAAGUGGCCGUGAAAUUGCCAGUUGUAUCCUUUCCAUAAACUUCUCUUUUAUUUGAAUUGCUUUGUAUGCCAGACCUGGACUCUCUGACUUUGAUUUUGACUCACUCAGAAGAUCCUGACUCUGGUGUCUCUCUCCCAAGGAUGGAAGAACACACCUGACUGACAAGCUGGACUUAGACCUGAUGCUCUACACUUCUGCCAGAUAUCUUCUUCGGUGAAACGUCUGUUCAAAUCUUUGGACCAUUUUUUUUUUUUUUGCUGUACGUGGGCCUCUCACUGUUGUGGC